GGCGCGGUCGCCAAGUUGGUAAGGCAGAGGUCUGCAAAACCUUCAUCCGUCGGUUCGAAUCCGAUCCGCGCCU
rnacentral:tRNA from 1 species